rnacentral:rRNA from 1 species
AUUCUCUAGUGGCGCACGGAUGAGUAACACGUGAGUAACCUGCCCCCGAGAGCGGGAUAGCCCUGGGAAACUGGGAUUAAUACCGCAUAGUAUCGAAAGAUUAAAGCAGCAAUGCGCUUGGGGAUGGGCUCGCGGCCUAUUAGUUAGUUGGUGAGGUAACGGCUCACCAAGGCGAUGACGGGUAGCCGGUCUGAGAGGAUGUCCGGCCACACUGGAACUGAGACACGGUCCAGACACCUACGGGUGGCAGCAGUCGAGAAUCAUUCACAAUGGGGGAAACCCUGAUGGUGCGACGCCGCGUGGGGGAAUGAAGGUCUUCGGAUUGUAAACCCCUGUCAUGUGGGAGCAAAUUAAAAAGAUAGUACCACAAGAGGAAGAGACGGCUAACUCUGUGCCAGCAGCCGCGGUAAUACAGAGGUCUCAAGCGUUGUUCGGAAUCACUGGGCGUAAAGCGUGUGUAGGCUGUUUCGUAAGUCGUGUGUGAAAGGCGCGGGCUCAACCCGCGGACGGCACAUGAUACUGCGAGACUAGAGUAAUGGAGGGGGAACCGGAAUUCUCGGUGUAGCAGUGAAAUGCGUAGAUAUCGAGAGGAACACUCGUGGCGAAGGCGGGUUCCUGGACAUUAACUGACGCUGAGGCACGAAGGCCAGGGGAGCGAAAGGGAUUAGAUACCCCUGUAGUCCUGGCAGUAAACGGUGCACGCUUGGUGUGCGGGGAAUCGACCCCCUGCGUGCC